rnacentral:rRNA from 1 species
UACGUAGGGUGCAAGCGUUGUCCGGAAUUAUUGGGCGUAAAGAGCUCGUAGGCGGCCUGUCGCGUCGGCUGUGAAAACCCGGGGCUCAACCCCGGGCCUGCAGUCGAUACGGGCAGGCUAGAGUCCGGCAGGGGAGACUGGAAUUCCUGGUGUAGCGGUGAAAUGCGCAGAUAUCAGGAGGAACACCGGUGGCGAAGGCGGUUCUCUGGGCAUGUCCUGACGCUGAGGAGCGAAAGCGUGGGGAGCGAACAGG